CGGUUUUCCACACUGUUUCAGACCGAACCGACCGUGAUUUAUUUUCUCUGUCUCUCGCGCCUCUUUCAGUCCUUUCACCCUUCCAACUUUGCCGCCGGCCGCCAUAUCUGUAUCCACUUUGGGUUGUAUCACCUUCCGCUGUGAGAAUCUGUUUCUUUUGCUCUCGUCGGCGCCGCCGUGAGUUCUUGACUGGUUUAUGUUUACAUUCAUCUUGGUUUUCAGGUGCAUACCUCGCUGCCAUUCAAUCUCCCACUCUUUCUGCUCAUGCUCGAUGACGUUAAGGAAGAGGGGAAGAAGUCUCAGAACUCUACUCAGGCUGAGUACGUGGCAAUAGCUGAAACUGGAAAGGAUAUGAUAUAGAUGACAGACUAGUUAGAAGAAUUGGGUAAGAGGCAGCACGAGAAUAUUCUUUAUAUAAAUAGUCAGAGUGUCAUACAUUGGUGAGGUACUCGAUUUAUCAUUCAAAGACAAAACACAGAAGGCGAUAUCAUUUCACUCACAAGUUAGUGGGAGAUGGUGAUGUGUUUGGAGAAGAUAGAAGGUGCAAAUAUCCUAGCAGACAAAAUGUGUUGAUGUUGGAACAUUGAGGUUGUGCAAAGCCUCGAUUAGUAUGGUGCAGUGAAGAUGUUGAUAGUUGUUUGAGAAUGAAAUUCUUGGUUAAUUGGAUAAGUGGGUGCGUGUUUAGACAAACAUUGCACGGGUAGCAGGCGUUGCACAUAGAGGUGUGAUAUUCGCAUACUACAUGUAGCACUACGUGGUGACUAUGUGCAUACGCAUUUGCGUCUUUGCAUGCCCACGCUCUUGGGACUAAAACAAUGGACGAGUCUUGGGGCUAAGUGUUUUUACCUUACCCCUAGUGCCAUGAUUAUAUGCUAAUCUCUAAUCAUAGAGUGAAAUAAAUACCACAAUUCGAAGUUUAGAAGAUAUGCAAAUAUUACUAAACUGGACGAAGUAGAAUUUGAUUGCACAUAUUGUUCAUGACGGGAAGCCCGACGAAGGGUGCUAUAGGGUGUUUGUAAAGACGAAGUCGGAAGAAUUGUGGAAGUUGAAAUGUAAAAUUUGCCACCCAUGGAGAGAACAUGAAGGCCGAGGUGUGUCGAGCAGUGCGGCGAUUACAACGAUGUGUGGCUAAGGCUUUCGACCUCUACAAGUGCUGCAACAUGUCAAGUUCUACUGAAUCUUUUGAGCCAUUGCGAGUCUUGUUGGUGGACAAUUUGAACAGGGGAACAAAACAUUGUUUAUAGGGAUGUCAAUACCUCACCCUAACAUACACGUUUUAAAAACCUUGAGGGUAAAUUCGAAAGAAAAUCCAAAGAGGACAAUAUUUGCUAGCGGUUGGAUCAAUUUGGUUUUGUUGAUACAUUCAUAACACAAUGAUUACAAGCUACUAGGUAGGGCAUGCUA